rnacentral:rRNA from 1 species
GAUGAACGCUGGCGGCGUGCCUAAUACAUGCAAGUCGAGCGAACAGACGAGGAGCUUGCUCCUCUGACGUUAGCGGCGGACGGGUGAGUAACACGUGGAUAACGUACCUAUAAGACUGGGAUAACUUCGGGAAACCGGAGCUAAUACCGGAUAAUAUGUUGAAUCGCAUGGUUCAACAGUGAAAGACGGUCUUGCUGUCACUUAUAGAUGGAUCCGCGCCGCAUUAGCUAGUUGGUAAGGUAACGGCUUACCAAGGCAACGAUGCGUAGCCGACCUGAGAGGGUGAUCGGCCACACUGGAACUGAGACACGGUCCAGACUCCUACGGGAGGCAGCAGUAGGGAAUCUUCCGCAAUGGGCGAAAGCCUGACGGAGCAACGCCGCGUGAGUGAAGAAGGUCUUCGGAUCGUAAAACUCUGUUAUUAGGGAAGAACAAAUGUGUAAGUAACUAUGCACGUCUUGACGGUACCUAAUCAGAAAGCCACGGCUAACUACGUG